AACGAACGCUGGCGGCAUGCCUAACACAUGCAAGUCGAACGAGGCUUCGGCCUAGUGGCGGACGGGUGAGUAACGCGUAGGAACCUGCCGAGUAGUGGGGGAUAACAGCUGGAAACGGCUGCUAAUACCGCAUACGCCCUUUUGGGGGAAAGAUUUAUCGCUAUUUGAGGGUCCUGCGUUCGAUUAGCUAGUUGGCGGGGUAACGGCCCACCAAGGCGACGAUCGAUAGCUGGUCUGAGAGGAUGAUCAGCCACACUGGGACUGAGACACGGCCCAGACUCCUACGGGAGGCAGCAGUGGGGAAUAUUGGACAAUGGGGGAAACCCUGAUCCAGCAAUGCCGCGUGCGUGAAGAAGGCCUUAGGGUUGUAAAGCGCUUUCACCUGUGACGAUGAUGACGGUAGCA
rnacentral:rRNA from 1 species